GACGAACGCUGGCGGCGUGCUUAACACAUGCAAGUCGAGCGAGGAGCUUGCUCCUAGCGGCGAACGGGUGAGUAACACGUGGGCAACCUGCCCUUGGCUCUGGGAUAACUCCGGGAAACCGGGGCUAAUACCGGAUACGACCACUGAUGACAUCUUCUGGUGGUGGAAAGAAUUUCGGCCAAGGAUGGGCCCGCGGCCUAUCAGCUUGUUGGUGGGGUAAUGGCCUACCAAGGCGACGACGGGUAGCCGGCCUGAGAGGGCGACCGGCCACACUGGGACUGAGACACGGCCCAGACUCCUACGGGAGGCAGCAGUGGGGAUAUUGCGCAAUGGGCGAAAGCCUGACGCAGCGACGCCGCGUGAGGGAUGAAUGCCUUC
rnacentral:rRNA from 1 species